AGCUUCAAGUGGCCGAGAUGAGUUUCCGAGCUCUCCCUGAGAGACGGGGUGAGAAGCUCGGUCAUCCGGGAGGAUCUCAGAGUAGAGCCGCUGCUCCUCCACAUCGAGAGGAGCCAGAUGAGGUGGCUAGGGCAUCUGAUUCGGAUGCCUCCCGGACGUCUCCCCAGUGAGGUGUUCCGGGCACGUCCCACCGGGAGGAGACCCCGCGGACGACCCAGGACACGCUGGAGAGACUACGUCUCUCGGCUGGCCUGGAAUGCCUCGGGAUCCCCCCGGAAAAGCUGGAUGAAGUGGCUGGGCAGAGGGAAGUCUCGGCGUCCCUGCUAAAGCUACUGCCCCUGCAACCCGACCUCGGAUAAGAGGAGCGCGCUCACUUGAGGACGGGCUCGGGGUUGAGCAUGGUACAGUCGAUCUCCAGGAUCUGCUCCUCCUGGAUGAAGUGCUGCCUCCACGCCUGCAGGAUGUUGUUCUUUAGGGCACAGCCCACCGGACCGAAAUCGUACAGGCCAGCCACCCCUGCAAAAAUAUGUGGAAUUGUCUUAUUUUAGGGGCGGCUCCGUCUCAUGCAGUGCUCCAGCCCUCAUCCCACCCCACAUUCUGAUGAACAAAUGCCCAGCAGGAGGAGCCUUUGAGUGUUCAUCAACUUGGCACAUCCUGGAGUGAAGAGUGAGGUCUAAAACCAAGCCUUUGUGUUGCAUCAUCCAAAGUGAACUACAACGCUUUACAUGCAGACGGAUUUUUAAGAAGAUAAACUGCAUUCUUCGAAGCCGCCCUGCUGUGAGGCAGUCACUAGUAGACGUCUACUGGACCCUAAAUUAAUGAGCAGGUCCCCUUGAAAUCUUGGUUUACAGUCAUCAGGGUCCUUUCUUCGUUUGAACUGACAGCAGGCCAAAAAGGUGCGCCCCUCUCUCCGGGAGACCAAACGUGCACGCAAGGCGCCACCUACUGGCUUGUGAGCGGAACUGCAAAGCUGACCCAUGAACUCACAUUUGAUGAUGAUAAUGUUUUUUAAAUAUUUUACGAACUCUGCCGAACUAUUCCAAAUGUUUUGCCUUGAUGUCAGUGUGUCAACUCUUCAAACACAGCUGCGAGAUGAGAACCGUUUUGUCUUGAUUAGACUCCAAGCAGCAUGAAAUGUGAUUUGAACCAUAAGCAGUUGAUUUACCAAGACUAAAGUUUAAACAGUCAAUCUA